rnacentral:misc_RNA from 1 species
AAGUCGUAACAAGGUAACCGUAGGUGAACCUGCGGUUGGAUCAUUAACAAAAUGUCUAGGUUCCAGUUUUGAGCCCCGCUCCUGGUUCCUAACGCAUCCACCCAUCCAUGUGCACCUGUCGUCCGUCUCUGGUGGUCGUGAGGGUUUUUUCGUCAGAAGGGAUCGGCCUGUCGGCGGGUCCCGCAUGUUGGCAGCCCUUCUAGUCCGUCCGGCAUCUGCCCGAUGGAUGAAGCCACCAAACGUGUCCAACAACCCAAUGUUUAUUCCAUCAUCUGUCUGACACAUCUCUUGUAUAAAAUAUACAAAACAACUUUUGGCAACGGAUCUCUUGGCUCUC